GCUUCGGGGCGAGGUGCAAUUCCUCACCGGCGGUUAAAGUCCGCGAACCUCUUUGAGGCCGAACGGGUGAAACUCCCGUACCGACGGUAUAGUCCGGAUGAAAGAAGU
rnacentral:ncRNA from 1 species